rnacentral:rRNA from 1 species
CCUACGGUGGGCAGCAGUGGGGAAUAUUGGACAAUGGGCGAAAGCCUGAUCCAGCCAUGCCGCGUGUGUGAAGAAGGCCUUCGGGUUGUAAAGCACUUUCAGUGGGGAAGAAAGCCUUGGGGCUAAUACCCUCGAGGAAGGACAUCACCCACAGAAGAAGCACCGGCUAACUCCGUGCCAGCAGCCGCGGAAUACGGAGGGUGCGAGCGUUAAUCGGAAUUACUGGGCGUAAAGCGCGCGUAGGCGGUCUGAUAAGCCGGUUGUGAAAGCCCCGGGCUCAACCUGGGAACGGCAUCCGGAACUGUCAGGCUAGAGUGCAGGAGAGGAAGGUAGAAUUCCCGGUGUAGCGGUGAAAUGCGUAGAGAUCGGGAGGAAUACCAGUGGCGAAGGCGGCCUUCUGGACUGACACUGACGCUGAGGUGCGAAAGCGUGGGUAGCAAACAGGAUUAGAUACCCCGGUAGUC